UACAGAGGUCUCGAGCGUUGUUCGGAUUCAUUGGGCGUAAAGGGCGCGUAGGCGGCGGGGUAAGUCUGGUGUGAAAUCUCGGAGCUCAACUCCGAAAUUGCACUGGAUACUGCUCUGCUAGAGGGCUGGAGAGGAGAUCGGAAUUCACGGUGUAGCGGUGAAAUGCGUAGAUAUCUGGAGGAAUACCGGUGGCGAAGGCGGCAUCCUGGACCAUUACUGACGCUGAGGCGCGAAAGCUAGGGGAGCAAACGGG
rnacentral:rRNA from 1 species